rnacentral:rRNA from 1 species
AGCAGUCGCCGCGGUAAUACAGAGGGUGCGAGCGUUAAUCGGAUUUACUGGGCGUAAAGCGUGCGUAGGCGGCUUUUUAAGUCGGAUGUGAAACCCCCGAGCUUAACUUGGGAAUUGCAUUCGAUACUGGGAAGCUAGAGUAUGGGAGAGGAUGGUAGAAUUCCAGGUGUAGCGGUGAAAUGCGUAGAGAUCUGGAGGAAUACCGAUGGCGAAGGCAGCCAUCUGGCCUAAUACUGACGCUGAGGUACGAAAGCAUGGGGAGCAAGCAGGAUUAGAUACCCCAGUAGUCCCUGUCUCUUAUAA